GCAUCUCAACUAGGAUCCCAUUCCGACGAGGAUGGACCCUUGGUGUCGCCGCCAAGGGGCACCAAGGCCAAUCUCUGGAUAUCCACGCCAUCUCUUCCUCCUUCUCCUGCAGAUCUUGUGAGGUUAGGAUUUCAAGACCUUCUUUGUCCAUUGCGUUCUUGAUCUGUUCUUAAUCUAUUCAUGAUUUGUUCUGGGAUGAUGCAGUUAGAUGCGUGAUAGUAUUUUCUUUUGUAUAUUUUGGUGAUGUGUUCUUGAUCUUCCUAAUUGAGUAACCAGGCAAAUUCGGUUUGUAUUCUAAUGAUGCAAUCUUGUUCUGUAUUUUAAUAAUUAUUAGGUAAUUAGGAAGCACAUUUGUUCAGUAUACUAGCAUGCCUAAUCAAACCAAAGAUGGAAAUGUGGACAUGAUCUGUAUAAUUAGUGAUUUUACUGCCCUGUUGUUGUUGUCCUGUCUCGGUUGUUGGAGAAAUUGUGAAUUAGGUUGGCUGGCGAGGGAUUCACUUGUACAUAUCACUGCCCUCUCUUGUUUCCCUAAGUUCUGCUCUGAUUCCAAAUUCUGCGAGGGAAAAGGAACCAGGACCUGGUUUCAGAAUUCGGUCUGAAUUCUGUUCCUGUUCCAAAAUUCUGGGACAAAAAUAGAGCUGGGACCAGGCACUAGCGUACAUUAUCUUGAACAGAAACGGUCUGAUUCUGGUCGAAUUUACUGGGGUGAUGCGGCUCAGCAGAUUGGCAGCAAUGCCGCUGGCUUGCUACCGUGGUGUGUCCAUUGGGGGCAUUCAUUGGGUGGCAAACAAUGCAUUAGAAAAACUGAGAGUGAGGCGGAGUCAGAUCUGUUGGACGCGGCCAUGGAGUACAACAUAGGUGACGUGGGCGAUGCGCCGGGGUGGACGAAGAGGUAAUUCAGUGAUGGCCUGUACGAGCUGUAUUAUUCGCAUGACGUGUUUUUUCCAGACUUUACACACUCUGCUCGGAAUGAAAUCCAUCUAAAUUAAAAUGUGUCGCUGAUACAUGCUGGCAUAUGUUUGCACGCUGCGUUCGUCAUAGUUAAGACCGAUGUGGUUCAUAUAACUGAGACAUUGUGAAUGAUGCAGCCAUGCAUGGUUUGUGAUCUUUGGCAGAGUUGCUUCUAAGGGAUGAGAUGGCGGAAACCUUCGAGUGGGUUUUCAAUUAAUUUAUCCGCAUGAUGGGUGGCAAGGCAAACAUCCCCAAACCUUGCUGACAGUUUGCUGAUUGAUCACAAGGUUUUGUGUGUCUCUGGAGAUCAGAGCAGGGCGAUGGAGGUCGUGAUAGAGAAAGUGAUGCCGAACAGCGCACACUGAUGAUUCAAGUGGUAUGUUUCUUAAGAAUGUGAAAGACACCUCUUGGUUCAUAUUUCAUGAAACGGAGCAAUUUCAGAUCUAAUUUUCACAAGAUCGUCUAUCACAUGAUGAUGGUUGAUGAGUUUGAAACUGCUCAGGGGGUGCUCACGGAGACUUAUGGCCCGCAUAAACACCCUUGAGACAAAUAUAACAAGUGAGGAAGAAGUGGGCGAAGCCAUACUUUAGAGGAAAAUUUUGUGGAAAGAUGACCAAUACGCGAUGGAGCGAAAGUGCCAACCAGAAAGGUUAUGUUCCGGCAAGCUGCCCCAUGCAUCUGCUUGUACGGCAAUACAUGAUGCUUCUUUUCGACCGGGAGACCAGCACAACCUGGCCACAGAGGCGUGACCACGCUCAGAAAGCUAAGGAAAGAGUCCAAAUGUUCAAACUGUGGAGUUACAGGGGGUCAUCGGAAGAGCACCUGCAACAACCCUAAGGUUACGCUGCAUGUUUUGGAUAAUGGACCGCAAUCGUGUUAGUGACCUGAUUAACCAUCAGGUUUCAUCGUCGCGUGCUUGAGCAACAAUUUUUUUCCUGUAUGUUGAGGGCUCAGUAGCCGUGUGUAGACCUGAAUUAUUUAUUGGUCUACUAAUAAUUAUAAUUGUAGCACAUGUACUUGUGAUGUCACCACCUUGAGCGCCUAUGUUGUUAUGUUCCGUUGGCUGAUUAAAACGCUGCCUUACCUGGUGUGGCGAGAUGUGCAGUUGCUUUUCAUGUAGUUGUCGAUGUAGUUUCGAGUUAUUCCCAUAUGUGAUUGAGAGUUGUUUUACCGUGAAUGGAGUUUUUGCUUUGCGUCCAUCCUAUUUUUGCUGCAAGGAGUGGUGUUUUUGUCGUUUUUUCUUCAAGCACAUGGUUG